rnacentral:lncRNA from 1 species
AAGGGUAUCUUGCCCCUCUCCAUUACAGAAAGACCCUGGGCUCACACCCUCCUCAGAGGAAUCCAUUACUAGCUAAGCUCUCUAACACCAUUUCCUACCAGGGGGGAAAAGAAGACAUUUUAAGUUUGACAUUAUUUAAAAACACAACAAAGUUUGGAAAAAAGUAUACUAGAUUAACACAUGAACCAAACAAAGAGUUUAAAAUAAGCAAAUAAAAUCUUAGAGAAAUGAGGGUUGUGGCAGAUACUGAAGGUUGGCUCCCUCAAUGUUCUUUCCAAUGAAUGAGCUUUUGCCAUGUGUUCAACCACUAUAAGAGUGUGGGAGGCCAAAACCUAUCAUCAAGAAGACCUUGCAGUUUGAGUUGGAUGUGUGACACAAAGGUAGAUAAUAAGAUAAGAAGUCUGUCGAGGAUUUCUGGGGAAAAUCUUUGCCUGAUAAAUGUAUAGCUUUUUCUCUCCCUUCUCUUUGCCCUCCCUUCUUCCUGCUACCAGUUGCAAGAUAGCUGGAGGUUGCUCACUAUCUGGGCUCCAUGAAGGAAAGAUGUGGGGAGAAGAGACCUUGAUCCUAACACUUGGAACUGCCAGCAAUCACUCACUUAUACAUCUCUUGCUGUUUGUGAAAGAGAUCCAUCAAAGGAGAGAAAGAAGAUGA